GUCAUUACUGGCUACCAUUUUUGCUCCAAGGCAAAUUGCUUCCAUGUUUUACAGCAGCCUGCUCCUGUGCUCUCAACCUCUCAGGACUUACAUUACAAUUUGGGGUAUGGUGACUGUCCUACAGAUCCUGCCUUUGGUACAGGUAAUUCUAGCACCUACGGACAGGAAAAUUACAUCUAAAAUGAAGACGGAGCAUUGUCUAGUCUGAAACAGGCACAGAUCAACGUAAUGUUUAUGGCUGUUCAGAACUGCAAUCUUAUUCAAGCCAAAUUUUUAAUACCAUCAUGCAGAGGAGGAGCAGAAGGAAAGUACACUGAUUUCCUAUAAUACCAGCUGAUACCAUCUGAUAUGUAGUGGAAAGGUCAUAGGGAAAUUAAGCCAAAUAUUAUUUGGAAGAAAGUAUCAAAAGAAAGAAGAGACAAGUGUAUGAAGUUAAAUCACUCACUUCAUUUACAAUUACACAACAGAAAACUGAGCUGACUGAAAGAAGAAUGUGAGAAAAUUCUGGCACCAGACAUCCCCUGCCUGUGUUGUAGCUUUCAGAAAUACCUUAACUUGGCAAUGCAGCUUUCUCCCAAGGGCUCUCUGCAGUCCAUCAUCAUGCUCCAUGUCCAACAGACAACAGCUUUGUUGAUUUAGAAAACAAAUGACUUACUGAAUUUGUGCACCAAGUAUCAAGGUCUCUUGAUGUAUUUAUUUUCUCAGUUAAAUGAAUAAACAUUUUUGAUCUAAUGUC